rnacentral:rRNA from 1 species
UACGUAGGGUGCGAGCGUUAAUCGGAAUUACUGGGCGUAAAGCGUGCGCAGGCGGUUUUGUAAGCCAGAUGUGAAAUCCCCGGGCUUAACCUGGGAAUGGCAUUUGGGACUGCAAGGCUGGAGUGUGGCAGAGGAGACUGGAAUUCCUGGUGUAGCAGUGAAAUGCGUAGAUAUCAGGAGGAACACCGGUGGCGAAGGCGGUUCUCUGGGCAUGAUCUGACGCUGAGGAGCGAAAGUGUGGGGAGCGAACAGG